rnacentral:rRNA from 1 species
AGUGAACGCUGGCGGUAGGCCUAACACAUGCCAGUCGAACGGCAGCACAGUAAGAGCUUGCUCUUACGGGUGGCGAGUGGCGGACGGGUGAGGAAUACAUCGGAAUCUACUUUUUCGUGGGGGAUAACGUAGGGAAACUUACGCUAAUACCGCAUACGACCUACGGGUGAAAGCAGGGGAUCUUCGGACCUUGCGCGAUUGAAUGAGCCGAUGUCGGAUUAGCUAGUUGGCGGGGUAAAGGCCCACCAAGGCGACGAUCCGUAGCUGGUCUGAGAGGAUGGUAGGCCACACUGGAACUGAGACACGGUCCAGACUCCUACGGGAGGCAGCAGUGGGGAAUAUUGGACAAUGGGCGCAAGCCUGAUCCAGCCAUACCGCGUGGGUGGAGAAGGCCUUCGGGUUGUAAAGCCCUUUUGUUGGGAAAGAAAAGCAGCAGGUUAAUACCCCGCUGUUCUGACGGUACCCAAAGAAUAAGCACCGGCUAACUUCGUG